UGUAAGAUCAAAAUUUGAAAAAUUUUGGAAACUGACAAUUAAAUAUUGACUCAACAAAUUGCUUUCAAAUAAUUAUCCCCAAACAAAAAGAUGCAUUGGGGUAAUUUUAGCUUAUGGUCUAAAGGUAAAAUUAAAAAAAUAGAUUCACUGAACAUAUUAAAUUGUGUUCAGCCAAUUCAUCAAGUAAAAGUGAAAUAUCUGUGUUUGCCGAACAAGCCUUGCGGAGAAAAAAAACGCAUGCGCAUGCCAGACAGGCGCAUGCACCUGAGAGAAACCGUUGGUAUAGUGGAUUCAAAUGUAUCUGCGCGGGAGAGUGAGGAGACUGAGGAGUCGAUGCUGAAGUACGACGACAGAAGUUCAGACAUCAUUUCCAAACAGAUUUUUCUUCAUUUAAGUUAUGGUUUAGAAGAAGUCCAUGCAGUGCCGCUUCUGCAAGUUUUCAUCACCUCACCAAGACCUAAUUUUCAAGCACUACAGAACUUGCCAUUGGUCAGUUAAUGCAACUUCCUUUCCAUGUUUACACCUAGAAUGUGUUUGCAUUUUCAAGACAAUUGGAGCUUUAAAAACACAUUUGUGGAGGGUACAUCCAAAGACUGGCAACAAGGGGAAUACCACAUUUUUCUUGUGACAACUGUGAUUUUAGGGACAUGUUUUUAAAAUAAUUGUGGUUUUGUUAAUGUAAGAUCUAAGGUCUAAUGAGUUUUGUGUAUCUUGGAAUCCUGAAUUGAAAUGCAUGAUUUUUAUCUACUAAGGUCUACUGUGCACAAAUUUUCAAUGUAUUUACCAUUUAAGGUAUUUUCACAAUACUGUUGUAGAUUUAAUAAAAUGUAUUAAAUAAAAUGUGGCAGUAUGGCUUGAGUGUUUAAUAUAUAUAUUUUUUUCUUUUGGGGCAACGGGGAAUAAACAAUACAGUGAAGUUGCUUUACUAAUAUAAAUUUACCAAAAUACAUUUUUAGUUUAGGUUAAACUAAAAAGGAAUGCUACUACAAUUUAAAAUGUAUAAUUGGGCCAAUAACAUGGGUUGGUAAACUAAUUUCUUUUCAAUUGUUUUAACAAAUUAUUUCUCAUUGAGCCAAUGUUAACAGACUAUUGCUACAAUUGAUAAAAUUACAUUUACAGAAUUUCACUUGGGCCAAUUGAAAAUUUUAGAUGUGACCAGUCACUAGAAAAUUUUGAGUUGGGAAGAUUAGAAAUUUUUUACAGUGUAUUAAACGUUGCAGCACAUUCGCAAAGAGGCAAUUUUACAAUUGGUUUAGAGUUAUGGGUGCAUAUGUGGAGGGAUCAGUUUGAAUAAGGCAAUGCUCUUUCGUUGUCUUUAAUUGUUCCUGAGGAAGCUUUUAGUCUGGGUGAAAUAUGAUUCUAUUAGAAAACGAUGCUUUCCCAUUUAGAGCAAACAGACAUGAAUUAUCUCAUUUGGACCCUUUUCAGGACUGUGCUGUGUUAUAGUGUGGGGGUGGUUUAAAAGCCUUACUGUUUCAUGCUUCCAUUUGAGGACAGUGUGUGCGGAUGAAAUAGAAGAGAUUGUUCCCCUUCAGUGGAAAUGGAAGGGAAAUCUGAAGGACAGAACUGAAAUCUUUUAUAUUUGUGACUUCUAUAAAGAAGACACUCUGAUUUCUGCAUGGUAUAAGACAGUGGACUUCAUUUGUAGGUAUAUGGAUGAUGUUUUAUAAAGUUUAAUGUUUUUAGCAUUGAUGGUUGUACUUUAGUUUUGAAUAUAUUUUUGUUGAUCAUGUUAAUACUCUUCUGCAAUUAAAAGAAUUAUAGUAGAGAUUCCAAAUUUAGUGUUUAGCUGAAUAUUCUCUAGACAGGUUGCCCAAGUGAAGAACUUGUGAAAUUGUGGAAAAUCUAUACAUUUUAAGAUUGUGUUGUCCAGGCUAUUCAUGUUUCUAUUUAAAUACUGACAACAUUAUCUUCAAAUCAUAUUUAAAUCAUGUUUAACUGUGUUGGGUCUAAGUCCAUCUUGUCGAGUCCUAGUUUUUAAUCGAU
ensembl:lncRNA